AGAGUUUGAUCAUGGCUCAGGAUGAACGCUGGCGGCGUGCCUAACACAUGCAAGUCGAACGGGCAUGAAUUGAAACCUAGUGAUGUUCAUGUUAGUGGCGGACGGGUGAGUAACGCGUGGGCAACCUGCCGUAUACAGGGGGAUAACACCCGGAAACGGGUGCUAAUACCGCAUAAGCGCACAGCGGCGCAUGCCGCGGUGUGAAAAACUCCGGUGGUAUACGAUGGGCCCGCGUCUGAUUAGCUAGUUGGCGGGGCAGCGGCCCACCAAGGCGACGAUCAGUAGCCGGCCUGAGAGGGCGGACGGCCACAUUGGGACUGAGACACGGCCCAAACUCCUACGGGAGGCAGCAGUGGGGGAUAUUGCACAAUGGGGGGAACCCUGAUGCAGCGACGCCGCGUGGGUGAAGGAGCGUUUCGGCGCGUAAAGCCCUAUCGGCAGGGAAGAAAAAGAGCUGAAGCUCUUGGGACGGUACCUGACUAAGAAGCCCCGGCUAACUACGUGCCAGCCGCCGCGGUAAUAC
rnacentral:rRNA from 1 species